rnacentral:rRNA from 1 species
CUUGGUCAUUUAGAGGAAGUAAAAGUCGUAACAAGGUUUCCGUAGGUGAACCUGCGGAAGGAUCAUUAUUGAGUGGGGAAACCYAUGGCUAGUUGCUGUUUUGCUGGCUUUCAUGCAAUGUGCACGCCUCUGGUCAUUUGUUUUCUUUUGUUCCGCCUGUGCAUUAUUGUAGACAUUCCAUGUCUACGACAAUAUAUCAUACGCGCAUGUAUUUGUAUGUUAAUUAUAUGUAACAAAAAUUACAACUUUCAACAACGGAUCUCUUGGUUCUCGCAUCGAUGAAGAACGCAGCGAAAUGUGAUAAGUAAUGUGAAUUGCAGAAUUCAGUGAAUCAUCGAAUCUUUGAACGCAUCUUGCGCUCCUUGGCAUUCUGAGGAGCAUGCCUGUUUGAGUGUCAUCUUAUACUUAUCAAGACACUUUUGAGUGUUUUGGAAUUUGGGAGUCAUGCUGGUUUGUCUAGCUCUCCUGAAAAGUAAUUUGCUUGGAGACAAUUGGUGUGAUAAUUUGUCUGCACUGAUUUUGAAUGUCUCUACUUGUUUCUAUAUGUUGAUACCUCUGACCUCAAAUCAGGUAGGAUUACCCGCUGAACUUAAGCAUAUCAAUAAGCGGAGGA